rnacentral:lncRNA from 1 species
GACCCUUCAACCUGCUCUCUCAGGAGCAUAUGUGAACUGUCUUUGUGCUUCAGAGAAAGUGAGUUUGAGUCUUGCAAGAUUCUCAGACUUAACUUCCAGGAGGAAACUGGACACCACCCUCCCAUGGGUUUGCUGUGCCUCUGGCAUCCAGGGUCUUCAGUUUCCCAUGCUGGGCUCUUUGGGGUUCAUGUGUUGUGUUGCUUGUGACCCUGUCUGUGAAGCGUGCUCUGGAGUGACAGAACCUCGAAAAUGUGGGAAGGACUUUAACACUCAUCUGAAGCAGAUUCUCCGAGCUGUCUACCAGACAUCCCUCCUUCAACUUCCCCAGGCAGGGGACCUAGCCUCUGCCUGAAUGCUUCUGGAGACGGAAACUUAUUCCCUACAGGAAAUGAAGCUUCUCAGAGAAACUGCCGAAAGUUGCAUUAAAAAAAAAAAUUACAGAUGAAAUAGCUGUCACUGUCUGGGACAGUGCCGAAACCAGGUGGUCAAACGGGUAACAGAAAUACUGUCUUCUGAGAAAUGGCACAGAAGCCGGCAGGCAUCUUUAAGGGCUAUGCCUAGGCAGACUACUAACAUUGUGAGAAUGCCGUGUAUACCUCACGUACUGUGUGCUUUAUAUUUGUACAUUUUACCUUUUAUACAUAUGUCCGAUUGUCGUCAUUGGGCUCUGAGGCUUGUUUUGUCGUCUGUGUCUGUCUGAGGAACCUGUGUGUCCAGAGCCACGCGAAAUGUGAAUGACUGUUGGCAAUAUAAUCUUGAGAGGAUGGUGGGACUUGGGGAGGAGCAGGGCCAGGCCUCUGUUGGUAUUGCCCUGCUCCUGUAUCUAUGAUACAUUCCCUGGCUGAGGACUUGGAGUUGACCUGGGCAUUCGCCAGGACAGCUGGAAACACUAGGUCUCCUUUGCGUGUGUGGAAAGGUAAGAAUGGCACAUUGUUGCUAACUUGUAGAGAACUUUUAAUAAAUAUGUUUUCAUAAAGAAA